UUGUAUUAGAAUGUUUGAAAUUGCAACAGUGCUGACCCAAAAUUGUAUGAUUUGCCAAUGAAUAAAUAAGAAAGUUAUGUGAAAAUUGCCUCAAGGAGGAAGAGGAUUGGCUAGGAGACCCUUUCAAAACGUACAAAUUGAUUUCACAGAGUUACCUGAAAUACAAAGGUUUAAAUGCCUAUUAGUCAUAGUGGAUCAUCUAACCCAUUGGGUUGAAGCAUAUCCAGCUACCAAGGCGACAGCAGAGGUGGUCAGUAAGAUUCUAUUAGAAAAGAUUAUACCAAGCUAUGGAAUCGUCAAUACCGUCGAUUGGGAUAGUGGCCCACAUUUUAUUGCAAGAAUUUUACAGCAAACAACAAAUGCAUUGAACAUCAUCUGGAAGCUCCAUAUCCCUUGGAGACCACAAAGCUCAGAAAGGGUCGAACCAAACAGUUUGGUGAACCAAGCAGUAAAGGUGGCCCUUACAAAGUUAGUUGAGGAGAUGAAAGUGAAUUGGCUGAGGUGUCUUCCCUUAGCUCUAAUGAGAUUAAACCUAGGAUGGACUUAGGGGUUUCGCCCCUUUACGAGAUGGUGCUUGGUUUACCCUUCUUAACUACCCCGGGUAAUAAUGGAAACUAUGAGGAAGGAGAGCAGAGCAUAAGAAAGUAUAUCCAAACUGUAGCCAGCACCUUAGAGGAAUUAAGACAGAAAGGGUAUCUCCCUCAGAGGUCACCUAUCAAUUUUAAAAUCUAUAAGUACCAACCAAGGGACUGGGUUUUGAUUAAAACCUGGAAAGAGCAACCAUUAAUUCCAAAGUGGGAAGGUCCAUUUCAGGUCCUGUUAAUCACAGAAACAGCUGUUCCCACACAGGAGAAGGGAUGGACACACGUUUCAAGGGUAAAAGGACCUGUCCCUGCUCCUACGCAGCAACCCUCCGAUUCCACCGAACGGACCUCGAUCAAAGAAACGGACACUAAGCUGGUUUUGAAGAAGAAACAGUCUGAACCAUCAGGAGGAAUGGAAUAACAGAUCAUCAUUGCUAGAUUUGAACCAUAAGCUGCAAUGAUGUUUAAUGAGCUAUCCUAGCUUAUUUAAAAGAUCCAAAGAGUCUGGAAAGAGGAUAGAGCAUUCUUCCAUGCACUUAGCAAUCAGGCUACAAAAGGAGGAACGAGACAAGUGAAUACAAGAGGGGAGUGAGCUCCUGCAACAGAAAAAGAAGUAGUAGCCAAUAAAGAAGUAUUGCACGGAGGAAGACCAGGUCAGGAAGCACUUUUGCCACAGAGUCACAGAACCUUCAGAAAGGAGACGCAGAAGCUUCUUCCAGAGCUCCGAGGAAAGAGGGCUCUUCAGGAUGGGAGGCAAGGACUUUGUGGAUAAGGACACACAU